rnacentral:rRNA from 1 species
GAUGAACGCUGGCGGCGUGCCUAAUACAUGCAAGUCGAGCGAACAGACGAGGAGCUUGCUCCUCUGACGUUAGCGGCGGACGGGUGAGUAACACGUGGAUAACCUACCUAUAAGACUGGGAUAACUUCGGGAAACCGGAGCUAAUACCGGAUAACAUGUUGAACCGCAUGGUUCAACAGUGAAAGACGGUUUUGCUGUCACUUAUAGAUGGAUCCGCGUGGCAUUAGCUAGUUGGUAAGGUAACGGCUUACCAAGGCAACGAUGCGUAGCCGACCUGAGAGGGUGAUCGGCCACACUGGAACUGAGACACGGUCCAGACUCCUACGGGAGGCAGCAGUAGGGAAUCUUCCGCAAUGGGCGAAAGCCUGACGGAGCAACGCCGCGUGAGUGAAGAAGGUCUUCGGAUCGUAAAACUCUGUUAUUAGGGAAGAACAAAUGUGUAAGUAACUAUGCACGUCUUGACGGUACCUAAUCAGAAAGCCACGGCUAACUACGUG